rnacentral:rRNA from 1 species
UACGUAGGGUGCGAGCGUUGUCCGGAAUUAUUGGGCGUAAAGGGCUCGUAGGCGGUUUGUCGCGUCGGGAGUGAAAUCCACUGGCUUAACUGGUGGCUUGCUUUCGAUACGGGCAGACUAGAGUGCGGUAGGGGAGAUUGGAAUUCCUGGUGUAGCGGUGGAAUGCGCAGAUAUCAGGAGGAACACCGAUGGCGAAGGCAGAUCUCUGGGCCGUAACUGACGCUGAGGAGCGAAAGCGUGGGGAGCGAACAGG